UAGAAUACAAAAUACUAGAAUACCAUUUAUUCGGAUUUGAUAAUUUGACGUCAAUUUCGAAUACUAUCAAUUCUCCUUAUACAAAUUAGAUAAUACGUUUAUUUCAGAUCAUAAUUAGAUGACAUAGACAACUGUCAUUAUAUAAAUAUAAACUCCAUAAUAUAGUUGACUUUUAUAAGUCUACUGAACCUAACAAACAAAGCAUAUAAAAAAAACUCACACAUGGAACGUGACAUGCUUUCUUUUCUUUAUAUAAUUCAAAUUUUUAAAUCAAAUAAACAUUCAAUACGCAUAGAACAGAAAUCAUCAAAAGUCGGAUAAUAAAAUUUUAAUUAGUCAAAAACAUUUUUAUUUUUCUCUUUUGAAAAUUGGUUAAUGAGUUUCCAUGUCGGAUUAGGAUAUGAGUGGGGUUGCACACACGUGUUUGGGUCCCAGUAUUUAUGUAUCAAGACAACAGUGAAUUCGAUCACAUUAAUGUUUGUCUCUUCGACGGAUAAAGAGAGUGAAACCACAUGUUGCAUCUACUCUUGUGACACGUAGUACCAUAAAAUAUUGAGUAUUCAUUGUAUUCAUUCUCCACGUAUCCAAAUAAAUACAAUAAUUAGAUAUUUCGAUAGAAAUGUAAGUGUUCAUAUAUACAACAUCAUUAUCACUACAAUACAUAUAUCUGAUAAUUAUUAUAAGCCAUGGACAUGAUGUUACACUUUAACAAAAAACAAUUGUACCAAAAAUAAAAGCUUCUAAAUUUAUGUACAACCAGAUUUUUUUUGUGGUUGUGUAUUUAAACCUUUUAUAAAAAAAAUUUUAAAAAAACAUAAAUAUUUGCAACAUUAGAACAAAACUGAAGUUAAGUGAUUUGAAAAUGAAAAUUAUACUGACCUAGGUAGAAACAUUUGUCAAACUUCUUUAGGGCAUAUUGAUCCAAACAUUGUAAACCAAAUAACUCUGGUUUAGCAAUUCAAAGUUUUUACAAUAUUGGAGUCAACAAUUAAAAGUUAAGAAGUCAAAUUUGUUUGAAUGACUUUUUGGUAGAACAAGUUAUCAAACUUAAUUACUAUUCACUAUCUUGAACACUUCGGUUAUAUCAUAUUAUGUGUCGGGUUUUAUUUGCACUCUAACAAGUAUUGUUGAAUUUUUGUUAUUUUGAACAGGGUCUUGUAAUACUAACAAUACAAGCUCGCUCAUCAUGGCUACAACCACCUAAGUGCCCUUCUAACCCGACAACUUCAUGCCAAGAAGUCCAUGGUGGUCAAGCCGCAAUGUUGUUUUUAGGGCUUUAUUUAGUGGCACUUGGUGUCGGUGGCAUCAAAGGAUCAUUACCUACACAUGGUGCAGAACAAUUUGAUGAGGACAGUGUUAAUGGAAGAAAACAGAGAUCAACGUUUUUCAACUAUUUUGUGUUUUGUCUCGCUAUUGGUGCUCUAAUCGCUGUUACUUUCGUUGUUUGGAUCGAAGACAACAAAGGAUGGGAAUGGGGCUUUGGAAUCUCUAUGUUGACCAUUUUUUUGUCGAUCCCUGUCUUUUUAGCUGGUUCAAGCUUUUAUCGUAACAAGGUUCCCCGUGGAAGCCCUAUAACAACUAUAUUUAAGGUUAUUCAAUAUUUUUAUUUACCCAAUAUUUUUUAUAUUAAAAUUAUUUAUUAUUAAUAAAAAGAUAUAUGUUUUAUCAACCACCACAUAUCAACAAGUCUCUCAACAAACACAAUUUUAUGAACUUUCUCACACAGCCAACACAGUUUUGUGCGCUAUCACACACCAACUUGUACUUUGACUUUGUCGAUUGUUGCAAAAUUAACCCUAGACUAUUGUAACUUUUUAAUUAACGAUCUUGACAUUUGUUGUGUUUGACCUUUGAACAUCAGGUUCUAGUUGCAUCGAUGUUGAACACUUGCAUUGUGAGGAACCCUAGUAACGCCAUUGCGAGUAUCUCUCCUCCGACAUCAAUUAACCGUGGACAACAAACGAUUAACCCCACAAAGCAAUCGGAAGAACCAGAAGCUCCGUCGUCAAGCCUCAAGUUCCUCAACCGGGCGGCGAUGAACAAACCGGCUUGCAGUUUCCUUCGAUGCUCGAUCCUUCAAGUUGAAGAGGUUAAAAUUGUCCUCAAAGUCCUUCCAAUCUUCGGUUGCACAAUUAUGCUCAACUGUUGCCUAGCUCAGCUCUCCACUUUCUCCGUCCAACAAGCGUCCACCAUGAACACCAAGAUCGGUAACCUAAAAGUUCCUCCGGCGUCCCUUCCGAUUUUCCCGGUGGUGUUCAUAAUCUUACUAGCACCGGUUUACGAUCACAUCAUAGUCCCAUUCGCCCGGAAAACCACCAAAUCGGAAAUGGGGAUUUCGCAUUUACAACGAAUUGGAGUCGGGCUACUCCUCUCAAUUUUAGCCAUGGCUGUAGCAGCUCUAGUUGAGAUCAAACGCAAACGGAUCGCCACAACAUCAGGCCUCGACACUCACGAACCACUACCGAUUUCAUUUUUAUGGGUCGCAUUUCAGUAUUUGUUUCUGGGAUCUGCAGACUUGUUCACGUUGGCUGGAUUACUCGAGUUUUUCUUCACCGAAGCUCCGAUAUCUAUGCGAUCUUUAGCCACAUCGUUGUCGUUCGCGUCGUUAGCUAUGGGGUACUACUUGAGUACAGUGAUAGUGUCGGUUGUGAAUAGCGCCACCGGGAGCUCCGGCCACCCUGGGUGGUUGUCCGGCGACAACUUGAACCAUUACAAUUUGGAGAGAUUUUACUGGCUGAUGACUGCGUUGAGUGCACUGAAUUUCCUUCAUUAUUUGUUUUGGGCCCAUCGUUAUAAGUACAGAUCUUUAGGGGUCCAUAACUGAAAUAUAGAAAAGUUGAAGGUGUGUAGAAGAAACUUAGCCGAGCUAGUUUCAAGCUCAUGACAUACAUUUUCAGCUUAGAUUUGUAUAUAUCUGCCAACUGAGAGUGAGAGAACUUGAGGGGUUUCUGCGAGCAUAUUAUAAAUGUUCAUUUUACACCCUUCAUCUUUUCCUAUCCUUUAAUUAUCUUUAAAUAUCUUUUUUUCCAUAAAAAGAUAAAUUUCCCGUGAUCGAUCAUACGUUUUUAAUACUUUUUCUUCUCGUUUUGUUGUUAUUUGUCAUAUGGGUAUCAUAUAAGCAACAAUGUGGAUUUAUAACUUCUAAAGAUUAUGAUACGAUAAGAAAUCGUACACUAAAAUAAAUAAACAGUAUUAUAGCAUAUAACGUAAACAAAGUUUUUUUUUUUUAAUAUAUAAAAUGAAAAGAAAAUAUAGGAUUUUAUAUUACAUCUAUUAAGCCAAUUUCUUUACCUAAAAUAUGAAAACAAGUGUUUCGUACUUAUUUUAUAAUAAAAAAAUAUGAGCAUAUAUUUAAGUACUUUAAUUGAGAUCGAGGCUUUAAUUUCAAAAGGGGAUGUAGCUCAGAUGGUAGAGCGCUCGCUUAGCAUGCGAGAGGUACGGGGAUCGAUACCCCGCAUCUCCAAAACUUUUGAAAUGUUGUUGCUUAAUUCGGUUUCGUUUUUUGUUUUUGUUUCUUUUAAAGUCUUUUUAUUCGGUAAUAUUAUUAAAUUAAAAGAUACUUGCAUAUGUAUUUGGUUCACUAUUCAGUUUGAAACUGAAAUUAAUGAAGUAGGUUUUAGUUUUCGACUUCAUUAUUUUUUCAAUAUUAGAUUUAAUUAUUUGAACUAAUAGAUGUGCAUCCUAUUAAGUUAUAUUCUCUCUCUAAAUAAAAAUAAUUUUGUUACUUGUCAAUUUUUCUAAUGUUUUAAAAUAUAAUAAUAAUAGCAUAUAUGUUUCAUUAACAGACUUUCAUUCUAAUUUUAAAAUUAUUAAAUUAAAACCUCAUUAGUUUUCUUUAUUUAUUUAUCUAAAUUAUUUGUUUAAAUUUAUAAAAAAAAAUACUUUAAUUUUAAUAAUUAAAUAUUUUUUUCAUUUUUUUUAUAAAUUCAAACUUCUCAAAUAUUUAGAAUUUCAUAUUUUCUUUAAAUAAACUCAUAUAAUACAUGGGUCUCACAAUUAUCACUUAUUAGCCGAAUAUGUAAACAUCUUUAUAUUUUGUAUUUUAUGAUUAUAUACCAAGAUUUACUGUAUAUCUUUUUUGACAAUCCAACGGUAUAACAUCUAACACACUUGGUCUGAAUCUGAGAUUUCUUGGAAGCACAAAGACCAUUUAUUCAACUUUGUGUUGAUUUGUAUUAGUUGCAACAAAAGUUGUUGGAACCAUACUUUUAUCAUAAGAUAAUCCACAACCUUUAAUAAAGUUUAUUAUUUUGUCAUAUCGUUAAAAGUUAUUUUUAUAGAUAUUCUAAAUUACAUAUGUUUUUUUCCUAAACAUUUAAAAGUUUAUUCUCGUUUACUUGAAAAGUUUUAUAAAACACCUUUCUUUAAUUUGUGUGUGUAGGCAAAUAAUGCUUUUGCACAUUUUUUUAACCAAAGUACAUGAUUUACAUCUCAAUCAAAAAAAAAAUCAAGUGAAAAAAACGAAUGGGAAUUGAUUGAUAUAUUUUUCCAAACAAAUAAAAGAUAAAACAUAUAUUAUGGAUCAACUAAACCCUUUCAUUAACUUAAAAAUAAAAAAUAAUAAAAUAAUAAACAAAUAAGAAAAAGAAAGAAAGAGCCAUAAGGAUCCCAUAAAUAUUUUAUUCCAAAAAUAAAAAAUAAAAACAAAUAUUUUUAAAAAAUUAAGUGUAGUUACUAAUUAUUCAAGAUGAGCAUGUAUACAUAAUGAAAACUUCAUAUUAAGGAAGCUUAUGUUUGUGUUUAGUUUUUAUCAAAAUAUAUAUACCAAAUAAAAAUGAUAUAAAAAUCAAAUAUUCUCUUACAUUUUAUUCCUACUUAUCAUCCUACUCACCUAUUGUUUUAUAAAACACCCUUCUUUAAUUUGUCGCAUUAGGAAAAUAAAGAUUUUUCACAUUUUUUUAACCAAAGAACAUGAUUUACAUCUAGAUCAAAAUUAAAUAUUGAGAAAAAAAGAAAGGAAUUAGAAUUGAUUGAUAUACUUCACGAAACAAAUAAAGAUAAAACAUAAAUCAUGGAUCAACCAAACCUUCUCAUUAACUUCUUUUAAAUUAAAAAGAAUAAAAAAAUAAAUACCAUAAAAUAAGGUUUGAUCUUAAUAACUAUAAUCCUAGAAAUAUUUCAUUCCAAAAAUAAUAUAUAUAUANUAUAUAUAUAUAUAUAUAUAUAAAAGGACCACCGCCUAGCAAGUUACUAGACGGGGCCAGGAGAACAACAAAGAUAGAAAGAGCAUUACAUCAAGUUCUAUGGUCUCACAAAUAACUCAUUGGACGUAUACACUAUUCAGCACACUUGUAGUUACAAUUUGAUCUCUUAUGUUUUAGCCAAGUAUACACCAAUGAUUUAACGCCAUCAAUAAUCUUAAAGGGACAGGUACAUAUGUUCUUAAACAUCCAAUCGCAUCUCGAUUUCCAUAUCAGUCAUAUCGCGCCAUAGCAUACACUGAUGAGAUUGUUUCUCCUUUUCACACAUCUACCCUAUUUUUUUAUGAAACUGGUGAGAUCUCCAAUAAUGUGAAGCUGCGGUUGAGGAAUUGCACACCAUUUGAACACCCACUCACAUACUGUAGCCGUCACAGGGCAGCGAAUCAGAAUAUGUGUAGUGUCUUCAUCCUCCUGUAAGUAUUGAGAACAUCUAGCAUCUACCCCUAGCAUUCCUAUUCUUAUUAGCACACUAUUGGACAGAAUUCGACUGAGAUUAGCUCUCCAGACGAAAGUUGUGACCUUGAUUGGAACAACAUGUAUCCAUGGAAUAAUCACUUCGUUAAUCGCUGGUUCCAGGUUAUCUAACUUUGAUCUGAGAACAUCUACGUGAUAAUCCCUAAUUCCCUAUCAUUUGUCAUGGCACAUUUCCAUUUAUAUGUCCCUUUUGUCGACUGGAAAUCACCUGUGACAGUUAAAAACAUAUGAAGACUGUGCAUCAGUUCAUCGGAUGUAGGGGCGAUCUCCAAUCCUACGUUUGGCCUGCCAUCUAUAUCCUCUCCUUAAUUGUACAUGCCUUUUGUCUCUCCAGUUGGAACAGUUCUAGGAAUCUAUUUUUUAGGGGCUCCCUAUCACACCAUGCAUCCAUCCAAAAAAGAGUGUCAUCAUGUUCAUUCACUUGUUUCUAUAAAAUCUCUUGAAAGUUGAUUCCAGCCUUUUGUAAUUCCUGAAUUACCCCUGCUAUAUUAUUCCAUACACCUAGGAUAAUUUUCUUUGAUAGUCGCUCAGCAGGUUUACUGUUUAGGCUGUGAAUACCCACGAUUAGUCGAUUACUCUUCUUCAUAAUGUUGAUUUGUUAGUCUUCAAGCCCCACCACCAUUUAAAUAUCAACACUAGGUUAAAGGCACGAAGAGAACCUAAUCCCAAACCCCCUUUCUCCUUUGGUGCUACGACUUUCUCCCAUGAUAUUUUAUGAUUGUUAUCACCUCCACCCCAUAGGAACUGUCUUCGAAUUUUUUCAAGAAUUUCUAUAACUCCCACUGGUGCCACAAAAAUUGACAGGAAAUAGGAUGGAAGGCUACCGAGAACAGCCUUAGCAAGGGUUAAUCUGUGUAAAGCCCGAAAACGGAUCUACAAAUGAUCAAAAACAAAUAAUAUAAGCAAAAGAUGAAACAAUAAGCAAAUAACAAACGAACCAAGCUUGCAUACGCCUUAAAGCAAUAAAACGUCAGAUACAACUUGGAGAAAACACGAAGGCAUCAACAACCUUUAAAGUCUGACACAACGCCUUAUUUAUAGACCUGACUUACAACUGCAUGGAGUUUACGGCCGUAAACACAUAACAACUGUAAACUUAGACAAAAUCGGUUCUUCUUACACAAUCACUACCACUAACUAGUAUGCCUAGACCAAACCAUUAUACAGGCCAAAAUUAAAUUGAGAAAAGAAAAAAAUAGAAAAAAAAACUUAAUCCUCAAAACGUAUCAUUUUCAUAAAUCCGACAAGCACAUCGAAACGAGCUUUGUUAAAUGGCUUUGUGAACAAGUCCGCCACAUUGUUAUCAGUGUGGACUUGUUCGAUUCGAAUUAAAGAACGUUCAUAACAGUCUCUGAUAAAGUGAAUUUUAUUGUCGAUGUGCUUGGUUUUAGAGUGUUGGACUGGGUUUUUAGCUAUUUGAAUUGCCGCUUCAUUAUCACAAUAGAUAGGGGUUUCAAAGUAAUUCAAACCGUAGUCCAACAGCUGAUGUUGGAUCCAGAUAACUUGAGAGCAGCAAGCUGAUGCAGCAACGUAUUCUGCCUCUACUGUUGAGGUCGAGACAGUGUGCUGUUUCUUGCAUUGCCAUGAAACUAAUCUGUCACCUAGGUAUUGACAUCCUCCUGAAGUUGAUUUCCUGUCAAGCUCACAGCCUCCAUACUUACUGUCAGUAAAAGCAUAAAGAUUAAAUUCAGAAUUCUUCGGAUACCAAAGACCCAAUCUAGGGCUUCCUUUGAUAUACCGAAAAAUUCUUUUAACAGCAAUAAGAUGAGAAAGUUUAGGAUUAGCCUGAUAUCGUGCGCAUUGACAGACUGCAAGCAUAAUGUCAGGUCGACUUGCAGUAAGAUACAUCAGCGAUCCGAUCAUCGAUCGAUAGAGAGUUUUAUCUACGAACUCGCCUUCAGGAUCUGGGGACAGGAGAGGUCAUUCAGUCAUCGGUGUAGAAGCAGAUUUAGCAUCGUGAAGCGCAAACUUCUCAAGAAUAUCCUCCACAUACUUGGCUUGAUGUAGUAGGAUUCCGGUUGAAUUCUGUUUAACCUGAAACCCCACAAACAUGGUCAUUUCUCCCAACGAACUCAUUUCAAAUCUUUUCUUCAUUACACUUUCGAACUCUUUGCAAAGCUUUUGGCUUGUUGAUCCAAAGAUUAUGUCAUCGACGUAUAUUUGUACGAGUAUCUGGUCCUUGUCGACAUGCUUUAUGAACAGUGUUUGAUCGAUAGUGUCGCGAGUAUAACCAUGUUCGAGCAAAUGCUUUAUUAGGGUUGCAUACCAUGCUCUAGGAGCUUGAUGCAGCCCAUAUAACGCUUUGUCCAACUUGUAGACAUGAUUAGGAUACUUCGAGUCGACAAACCCUGGAGGUUGAUCAACGUAGAUUUCUUCCUUCACCUUGCCAUACAAGAAGGCAGUCUUGACAUCCAUUUGAAAGACAGUAAAGUUCAUAUACGAAGCAUACGCUAGGAAGAUACGAAUAGCCUCCAGGCGAGCUACUGGAGCAUAAACUUCAGUGUAGUCAAGACCCUCGACUUGUCGAAACCCACGAACUACCAGUCUGGCUUUGUUUCGCACAAUAACUCCUAAAUCGUCCUGUUUGUUGCGAUAGACCCAUUGUGUGUUAAGAGACUUCUUGCCCUUCGGUAACUCAACUAACUUCCAAACACCGAGUUUUUCAAAUUGAUGCAAUUCUUCAUGCAUUGCAUCCACCCAACUAGGUUCGUUUAGAGCCAUUUCUACAUUCUUGGGCUCAAUUUGAGAAAUAAAGCAAGAGUACAGACAUGUAUUCACGUCUCCACUCUGACUUCUAGUUUUAACACCAUCAUCUAGCUGGCCAAUGACGUUUUCGAUCGGAUGAUCCCGUUGAACCCUAGAAGGUAUUUCUUGGCUGAUGUCAUUGAGAGAAACAGGUAGAGUGUGAAUGUUGAGACCUCCUUCAUUUGCUGGUUGAGUAGUACCAGAUGGUUCUGCGACAUACUCAUCUGCAAUAAAAUCAGGGAAGAGUAAUUCCAUAAGGGUUGAAGAGACAGCGGAAGCAUCAUUUGGAACGAACUCUUUCUCUGAAGAUAUGUGAGGUGUCGAUUCAGCAUCAGAAUAAUCAGUGUGGACUGAUUGAGGACUAUCAUGUUCCAAGAACGGCCCCCCUUGAGGAGUAGCAGAGGACUUUCCCGAAGAUGUUGCAGAAGCCUCCCCCUCAAUUGCAGCAGAAGGCUCCCCCUCAGUUGCAGCAGAAGGUCCUCCCUUGUGCAGGUCAGAGGACUCUCCUUCAAGUGAAGCUUUAGAUUUUCCUUUCGAUGAAUCAGAAGGUUUAGAUACAGGCUUGUACACGACUUCUUCAUCUUCAUCUUCAGAGAUACUCUUCCAAUGCGAACCUGUUCUAGAUAUAUCAUUUGAAUACACAUUUAAGGAUUUGAAAAGUGACAUAUAAUCAAACAACCAAUCCGGACCCACUCUUGCGUCUGUCUCAUUCUCUUCCAACCAACGCACGUCAUAGGAUUCCACAAUCUGUUUGGUUUUCUUAUUGUAGACUCUAUAAGCGGUGCGAGCAGCAUACCCUACAAAAUAGCAGUCAUCGGCUUUGGCAUUAAACUUCGGGUUGGCAUCUAGGUGAAGAAGGGUGCAAGGACAGCCAAAUACUCGGAAGUGACUGACUGACGGCUUGUGUCCAUAGUAAAUUUCAUACGGAGUUUUCAUUUGAGCUUUGUUGAUAAGCACUCGAUUCUGAACAUAACAGGCAGUGUUUAUCGCCUCCGCCCAAAAGAAAACAUGCAACUUUGAGUCUCACAUCAUCGUUCUUGCGGCGUCUUUGAGUGUUCUGUUCCGCCUUUCAGCAACACCAUUUUGUUGAGGUGUAUGAGCUGAACUAAAUUGACGCAUGAUACCCUUUUUCAGCGCAGAAGUGAUUGAGAACGGAAUUCUUGAACUCUGUUCCAUUAUCAGUACGAAGCGCCUUCACCCGAUGAUUGGUCUGAUUCUCAACAAGUACAACGAACUUCUUGAUCAAUUCAGUGACACCAGCUUUGUUGGAUAGAAAGAAAACCCACGUAAAUCGAGAGAAAUCAUCAAUCACAACUAAACAGUAAGAACUUCUGUUGAUGCUUAGCACGUUCACUGGACCAAACAAAUCCAUGUGAAGUAAUUGAAGAACCUGACUGAUUGAGUUAACCUGUUUUGGCAAGUGCGGCUUUCGAUGGUGCUUUCCUUGAGCGCAUGACACACAUUUUUCAAACGUGAUAAAGUCCUUGACGGGCAAUCCACGGACCAUCUCAUUUUUCGCAAGACGAUUCAGAUUCUUGGCGUUAGCAUGACCUAAUCUUCGGUGCCACAACAUUGCAGUUUGCUCGGAGAUCUUGGAGAAUAGACAAGUAACUUGUUCUGGGAGAUUGCUAUUCAUAUCAAUAAUAUAGGCGUUCCCAUCCCUUUUUGAUCUUACGAGAAUCCAUUCUUCAGGGAUGACAAAGCCUGGCUUUAAGACCAUGCAUUCCUUGUCAGUGAAAUGCGUAGAAUAGCCCUUGUCACAAAUCUGAGAAACGCUUAGCAGACUGUGUUUUAACUCGGGAGCGAAAUUCACGUUUUCGAAACUUAGAACUCCAUUUGUCACGGUUCCUCUUUGAGUGAUUUUCCCUCCAUCUCCAUCCGCAAAAGAGACAUACCCCCCAUUAAAUGAUUGAAUGAUGUGCAGUUGGGUGAUAUCUCCCGUCAUAUGCCGGGAACAGCCAAUGUCGACGAACCAGGGUCUGACGACAUUUCCCCGCAACUGUCCCUGCAAAAUGUGCGGGUUUAAUUAGAUUUGGGCACCCAGGUCAUGAUCUUCCUGGGUGAUCCCGAUGCCUUUUCAGAUUUAUUGCACUUAAACUUCUCUGAGGACACAGAUGAUGUAUUGGGAGCAGGUUUGGGCCUCCAUUUAUAAUUAGGUUUUCUGAAAAACUCAGUUAACUUUGUCAUUUUAUGCUUAACAAUCUGCUUAAAGCAUGUGUGACUUCUACCAGAGUUGGUUGAAGAUCCACUACUGCUUUGGGAUGAGCUUGACCUUGGCGUGGCUAUGCUCCUUUUUGGCAGACUGCUCGGGACAUGGUGAUUAAAAACCUUUUUAUGUCUGUGAAAAAUAUCCCUUUUUCUAUUUCGUUCAUCUGCCCAAUCAUCAUUUCGAGAGCGACUUCUAGAGGAAUUUCUAUUUAAAGACCUUCCUCUGAACUCGUUCUCCCCUCUUGGAAGAUUAUGACUCACAAACAUUCGGUUAAGACAAUUUCUAGCAAUAUGACCACUAGUACCACAAUUAAAACAAAUCUGCUUGUUAUUGUUAGAACUUGUGCUGCAUUUAUCAGAUUCGUUUUCCCUACGAACACCCUUGCUUGUCUCAUAGGAACAUGCAACAUUAUUAGGUUGUGAGGCAAGUAAGGCUGCUAUACUCAUGGAGGGUUGUGAAACUAGUGGUGUCUCAACAUUUUUAUCACAAACAUUCAAAUUGUCAACCAAAUUGUUCAAAAAUUUAUCAGACAUAUUAGAAGCACUCAAAACUGUAUCAGAAGUAACAACUACUGUAUCAGAAGAAUUAAAAACACCACAAGAAAUAUUGUCACUUAAAACAUUUGAAAAAGAAUUGUCUUUAUUUAAAAUGAAAACUUCAGGUUUAGACUCGAUUUUAUUUUCAGAAACACAUCCUUCAACUUCGUGCUUUGACUGAUUCAAGGAUUGAUCUGCAGGAGAAGUAGAAAUGUUAGUACUUUCAACAUUAAUAAAUCCUCCCGAAAUAAAACCGGAGGGCUUGCCAUAAACCAUAAAUGAUUCAUUGGCAAUCUCUUCUUUGGACAAAGGCUUGGACACAUAUGAAUGAUUGAAAGGAGGGGGUACAUGAUUAUACCCUAGACCUUUUGAUUGAUUCCUUUUAAACUGCAUACUUUGGUCUAUCAUAUUUGCAACCACCUCACUUGAGAAAUCAUAUUUUCUAACAUCAAGUUUGGCGGUCUCAAAUUUUCCUUUCAAAGAUUCAACUUCAGCCACUAGCUCAGCAUUUUGUUUGACUACAUAAUCAUAGUUUUCACAUUUGUUACUGUAGUCUUCCUGGAGUCUCCUAAAGUCCUUAAUUUUAGAUUCUAGUUGAGCUUUAAGUGGUUUUUGUCCUUUUCGAAGUUGGUACCCUUCAUAUCUAAGGUCUUCUACGUUUCUUAUUAAUUUUUCAUUAAGUUCACGAAGAAUCCUAAGAUUUUCUACUUCAUUGCCUAAUGUCUCAAUUUUAUCCUGUAAAAUUUUUACAUAAUCUAUACAAGCCUUAGAGCAUGAUGGAAAACUUACCUUGGACGAAUUAGGUUCAUGGGAAGAGGAUACCAUCAAAGCAAAUUGUAGCUUCAUCACACUGUCUUCAGCUGCUACAAUCCCUGCUGGAGUGUCAUCCCUUACUUGUGCUAGAUGAGCAUUUUCUGGUCCAGACAAAUUGAGAGCUUGUAUUUGAUCAUCCCAGUCGAAAGAUUGUGCAACCAUAGCCUUUUCAUUGUUUGCUUGACCACUGCUUCGGUUGUUCCCAACUGCAACCAUUGUUCUGUCAUUAUUAACCCUUCUAUCGGGGUGUGGGCAAUCACGAGCAAAAUGCCCUGGCUCGUGGCAAUUGAAACAUCGAAGCUUUCCUUUGUUGAAUCCAACCUUCUUGUCAGCACUCAUUCCCCAAUUGUUCUUCCCUGUCUUUUUGGCAAACUGUUUUGCCCUAAAUACAGCCAUGGCAAUUUGCCAUGUGAUGUCCAUUUCCUCAACGUCCUCCGGAUGGAUUUGAUCAAGAUCUGCAAAUGACAAUUGAGGCGGAAGCUCCCCAGCUACAAGUGCAUUGUAGCAAUUCACUAGCCCUGCUGCAAAGACAAGGUUUUCAUCACCCUCCUUUCCUUUUGAAGAAGAGGCUACAUUUGAAGAUGGAGCAGUUUGGGUAGACAGUAAUGGUUGACUUUGUGGGUAGGGAAUGACUGGUGCAAAGGAAGAUGAACCUGCAGUGGUAUAAGAGAAAGAAGAAAGAGCAUUGUUAGUUGAAAUGCCAAGGUUGGCAGCUGAGUAGGAGUUCACAUGAUUGAUCUCUCGCUGCUUGUCAUCAAUAUCACACGCUUUGAUGACAACCAUCACUUCAACUAGAGAAAGGCGAUUAAGAUCCUUAGUCUUCUUAAUCACAACUACGUUCAUGUCCCAAGACUUUGGGAGAGCAUUUAGUAGCUUCUUAUUAAUUUAUGACUUUUUAUAGAAGAUCCCUGCCACAGUCAUCUCCGUGUUGAAUCGCUGCAGUUGAGCCUCUAGAUUCUCUCCAGGUACAUAGUUAAACAUGUUGAAUCGUUGCCUCAACAUAUCUUGGCGACUCUCUCGCAUGUCUUGAUUUCCCUCAUAUACUUCAAUAAGGGCUUCCCACAGUGCUUUAGCAGAAGUAUACUCUCUGAAUCCUUGAGCAAUGUCUGGAGAUAAGGCCAUAGUCAAAAUGGCCAAUGCCUUUUCUUGUUCUUCUACACUCUCAAAAUCUUCAUCAGUGUAGUUUUCAAUUUUCUUGUCAACCACCUGCCCCCCAACUGUAGUGGUGAUUCUGACUGGAUCCUUUAUAACACAUUUCCAAAUCUUGAAGUCCUUCAUCUUUAUAUAUUUCUCAAUUCUAUAUUUCCACUCGGGGAAACCAUCAGCAGACAUGAGUCUUGGAAUGCGCGUGGUUGUUCCCAUCAUAGCAUCGAGUUCUUGAUAUUGAUUAGUAUUUUGUGAUUCCAUUUUUUUAAAUUAAAUUUAAUUAAUUAUUAAAUAAAACUUAAUUUUCAAUUAAAAAAAUUUAAUUAAUUUACUGUUUACUGUAAAUUCCGAAAAUUACUUAACUAAGAUUCAAGACAAGUUUACUGCUGAGAAAUGUUUACGGCCAUAAACUCCUAGUUUACGGCCUGUGAACCUUUUGAAUUCUGAAACAAAAAAAUUUAAGAUGCAAUUUAUCUAAAAUCGAUUAUCAGGUAAUUGAUUUACGACCAAUGAUUUUCUGUUAAAAACUCUAGUUUACAGCCAAUGAUUUUCUGUUAAAAACUCUAGUUUACGGCCAAUGAUUUUCUGUUAAAAGCCUUAAGUUUAUUUAUUUUUAAGAAUUUAAAUGCAAUGAAAUAUGAUUAUUAAAGCCUUAAAUUAGGAACUCGAUUUGCUGGAGAAGAAAAUCGUUUGCGGUGUUUGAGCCUUGAAUAGCUUGCGGCCGUGAACUUGGUGUUUACGGCCGUAAGCUCGGACCGUGAGCUUCUGAACACACGAAAUUCGACUGGAAUAAAACCCUUCUUUCGCUGUGAAUAUCGUUUUGAGCAAAAUCGCAACUGUAGGAUGUCUUUGACACUAGUCUCGCUCUGAUACCAAUUGUAAAGCCCGAAAACGGAUCUACCAAUGAUCAAAAACAAAUAACAGAAGCAAAAGAUGAAACAAUAAGCAAAUAACAAACGAACCAAGCUUGCAUACGCCUUAAAGCAAUAAAACGUCAGAUACAACUUGGAGAAAACACGAAAGCAUCAACAACCUUUAAAGUCUGACACAACGCCCUAUUUAUAGACCUGAUUUACAACCGCAUGGAGUUUACGGCCGUAAAGAGUUUACGGCCGGAAACACAUAAAAACCGUAAACUUAGACAAAAUCGGUUCUUCCUACACAAUCACUACCACUAACUAGUAUGCCUAGACCAAACCAUUAUACAGGGUCUUUCAAUCUGCCUCCAAAUGAGAGUGUUUUUGCUUUCCAUGGAGAAAGUUUAGCAUAAAAUCGGUCAAUUAUGGGUUUUCAAUGCUUCUUUAACUUCAUGUUCACACCCACAGAUACUCCAAGAUACGUGAAGGGUAAUGAAGUAGGUUCACAUCCUAAUGGCACAGCCCACCAAGUGACUUCCCGCAUAUCAACUCCAAUGCCAAACACCCUUGACUCGUUGAAGUUGACUUUCAAACCGGAUGACACUUGAAAACACCUCAAUAUAUAUAAGUGUAGUUACUAAUUGAUGAUGAGCACGUGUGCAUAAUGAAAACUUCAUAUUAAGAUAGUUUAUGUUUGAUUUAAUUUUUAUCAAUAUAUAUAUAUAUAUAUAUAUAUAUAUAUAUAUAUAUANNNNNNNNNNNNNNNNNNNNNNNNNNNNNNNNNNNNNNNNNNNNNNNNNNNNNNNNNNNNUCCACUUAUUUUCCUACUCACUAAAUGAUCUUAUAGCUACAACUUUUUAAUAUUUUACAUUGUAUAAUCUGAUGGACUUGAAAAUGCUCUUUAAUUAUAUCAUACACUAGAUUAAAGUCAAAAAGUUAAUAAAAAUAUAAACAACAAAUGCAAUUAAAGGAGAUAAAUUGAAAAUGUCAUUAAGAAUAAGAUGACGGUAUUAUAUGUAAUAUGAACUGUUUUAUUAUCAACUUCUCACUUCAAAAAAAAAACGUCAAAAAUCCAAACACCCCCUAAAUGCAACUGUGACAACAGCUUCAACUUGAAUCGAACCAUAAAUAUAUCAACCAUAGUUUCACAAUAAGUUCCAAAAAGACAUUCUGCAAAUUUUCAGCUACUUCUAUAUUAUACAUCAAUUUCACAAAUCCUCCAAAAAACCACUUUUAUGUCACGAAUCAGAAGUUGUGGCAAUCAUCCCUGAGCUCCUCACUGCAACUUUCACAGCACCCACCACACUAAGUUGCCUGAUCUCCGGGCGUAGAUUCUUGUUUUCAUGGCUUCCACAGUUCAAAUCCAUCUGAACCUCCACAAAAUAUGCUAUCUGUCACGGAUUAAAGUACUACAUCUUAAGUCAUACCACAAUAUAAAAUCAUAAACAACACUUAGCCCCCUUUUGCUACACUACACUAGACAGGACAGUACAUGACAGGUUGUACUACAUUGGACUGGGACUGGCACUAAUGUCGAUGGGACAAAACUGUAACUUCUUGUCCCACCCAAAAAGGUAAAAAUAGAACAGAACAAGUUAUACUGCAUUUGGCAUGCAUUAGACUGGGACUAGAACUGUUAGCAACAAUGUGUACUGCAUUUGGCAUGCACUGGACUGAGACUAGUGGGACAAGAACUGUAAUUUCUUGUCCCGCCCAAAAUGGUAAGAACAAGUAACGCGCAUUUGAAAACUAUUACCUUGCCUGAGGCAUUCCGUACGGGAGACAUGUGCAAAAAGUUCCAAAAUGGGCUCCCGUUUUUUCUGAAAAAUAUCAUCAAUAAUCAAGAACUAUAAUAAUUAUUCGUCAUAAAAUUUUAAAUUAUCAAUAAUAGAUGCAAACCUGUAAUUUAGGAUGCAUACAGUACAGGCUUUUCCUGUUUGAAUGCUAUUUGUAAUCUGCAUAUGAUCAUAGAAAAACCAUCUUGGAUUUAUUAUUCAUCAAACCCUAUAAAAAGUAAAUCCAAAUUUUGACAAAAUGGUUUUGAAUUCAAAAACCUGUAAAUGAGUUGAGACAUCCGUUUCCUUCCCGCUUAAAAAUCUGCAAUUUCGCCCCAAUACUUCAUGUCUACCAUAUCCUAAUAACAAUAAUAAUAUCAUUUAAAACUAGAAAACAGAUCGAAAAUCUCACCAUGGAUUGAUAUUCUUACAAAAAAUUUGACCAAAACAAUGAAGGGGGUAAAUUUGACUAUUUUGACCCUAAAUAAGUCAAAUUUUCACGUACCUGUUAGUUCUAGGAAGGAGUCACUCGCGUACACGAUUGGGAAAUCGGAUUUAUGUGGAUCCGUCCUAAAAGGGGACAAUAUUUUGUGUAAAAUAAGAGUUGGAAAUGUUUGUAGGUGUUUAGAUAUGUGAAAUAAAAUCGAGGAGAUUGAAAUAACUCACAAGACAAAGCUUUGUUUUAUUCUACCAAGAGAUAUAUUUAAGGAUGCCCCAACAAGGCUCAUGUUACUCGGGCAGCAUCUUUUAUCAGAAACCAAUCUGCCCGUUGACUCACUGUAAUGUGUUAGCAUGGAAACUAUGUUGCUAAUUGCAGUGUUGACUCGUCUUUUUUCCAAAUCACUCACCUUGCACGCAGUGUCAUGUAAUUCUGUAUGAAAAAAGUAGAAAUCUGUUUAGUCAUUCUUUCAUUUUGGCAUCAAAUAUAGUACAUAAAAGUUAAAAGUUAGGUUUUUUUUUUGUUUUUUACCUGUAUCAUCGGUUAAAAUUUGAUCCAAAUUUGAAAUGCGACCCAAUUCGGCCACCGUAUCAGAACACACCUCCCUCCUACAAAACCCAAGAACGGUAUCACGAAAACCCGACCCAUUUUCACACAAAUUCAUCUCGAUUCUUGAAAAUUCACUCCCGGAUCUUCUUGGUUUAGGCAUAAUUGGGACUUGAACACCGACAAAAUGGAUCACUCUUCCAUCUUCCUUGCUGAAAACAGGAAACAUGUGGAACAAAAUCCAAAAGGGUGUCCCAUUUUUAUGGUAAUUUAAUAAACUAACUUGUAUACUUCUUUCUUCUCUAAUGGCUUCCCUUAUCUCCAUUACUGAUCUCCUAUUAGUCCUACUACCUUGAAACAUCCUUCCGUUCUUUCCAAUCACCUCUUCUCUUGAAUACCCAGACAUUUUCAAGAACUCCCUUGAUGCAAAAACAAUCGGGUGACCCGAAAUUAACGGGUCGGUUAUGGUGAAACUAUGGGGUAGUUCGUCAAGAGCUUCUCGGACCCAAAUUGAGUACCGAUUAUUGAUGGAUUGUUCAAUUGAAGUACCCAUUGGUUGUUGCUCCAUGAAUAUUGAAACUUUGCUUGAUUUUCAAACUCGAUUUCGCUUAAUACAAAGAUUAAUCCCAAUCCCAUGUGGUAAAGUUGGAGAAUUUUUGGGCUUUUUCAGCUUUCAAUGGAUUAAACAACUAAAACCCCAAACUAGAGAAAGGGAAAGAAAGCAAAAAAAGAUACUAUCUUUACAGCAUACAAACUUUAUACCUACAAAACGCCAUAAUUUCAAAGUUCGUGAGUGAGAAAGAUGGAGAAUUUUGUUAUUGGUUUUGAAGAAAAUGAAAAGACACAGCAAAACUAUAGGUUUUCAUAACAUAAAGAUUGAAGAAUUUAAGGGGCCCAUAAAUAUGCAGUUGUGAAGUAAUUGAGUGGAGAAAAACCUCUUUUGUGAAAAUAUCUAUGAAGUUGUUCAAGGCUACGAGAUACCCAUCUGAUGCAUGAACAGUGGAAGAGGGAAUAACUCAAAGUUUGUGGAGAGGAGAGAGGGGAAGGCCACGGCGAAGGUGAAUCACGAAAAAAAGAAAAUAAUGGAAAAUGGAAAAUGAGAGGGGCUUCUAAAAGAUUAGAACGAACCAAAUAUGGGUUAUAGUUUAUGUAAUAAUGGAAAUUUAUAGAAUCAGAUGUUAUCCAACCACGUCGGAUUAGUUUAAAAGUCAAAAUAUACAAAUAUUAUUUUGAAGUAAUUAAAUACUUUGAUUUGAUUUUGUUAUCAAGAAAAACAAAUAACUAUUUCUACAAAUCAUCUUAAUCUUUAUUUUAAUAAAUAAAUAAUUUUAAUUUUUUUUUUUGACAAUUGCCACUCUAAUAUAAUUCAAUUAAUAUUAUGUCAUGUAUCAUAUAAAUAUACUCUAAUAUAAUUCAAUUAAUAUUAUGUCAUGUAUCAUAUAAAUAUAUUAGGCAACUCAUUACAAAAUUCAAAUUUAUAUUUUCUAGUUAUAUGUUUAAUUUGAAGUUAUAAUAACUUUAAAAAUUAAUAUAUCUCUUAAUUAAUAACUUAUUUAAAAUGAUUUGUUUAAAAUAAUUGAUUAUUAAUUAUAAAUUUUUAUUAUGAAAAUUUAAUUAAUUUUAUAACCCGUGGUUCAUACGGGUUAUAAACUAGUUUUUCAAUAAAUAACUAAAAAAAAUUGUCAAAAUUUCAAAAUAACCAUUUGAAUAUGACAUCUAAGAAAAGCUUGUAUUUUUUUCUUUUAAAAAAAUAAAAUUGUAUUUUUUUUUUCAUCCAUACUAAAAAAUGAAAUUUAACAACCUGCAAAUUCUGAUAUGUGUUGCAUAGAAAGAAAUAAUGGUCGUACUAUAAUAUCUAUUUUUGAAAAUUUAAGAAAUCCAACAAAAAUUUGUUUGUCUGAUAUCAUUUCUCCACGGAAAAAAAACACAACUUCAAAUUUUCAAGAUGAAUAUUUUGUUGUUGCUUGUAUCGAUGGUUCAUGGCAAUUAAAAAACUGAUGAAUACAUAUAUGUUAAGUCUUUUGUUAAAAUCUAUGGUGUAGACUCGCCUCGAACUGAAGAUAACAAAAUCACACACACGCAACUGCUACAAGGGCUCCUCACACAGAACAUAUCCAAAAUCAUUCCUAAUCAGUAAUUAAGGUAAUAACCCAUUACCAAAGUUCCGUUUCUUAUUAUAUCAUACUAAGAGUGAAAGAACAUUUUACCCUUCCUAUACUUGGCCCAACAAUUCAUGGCCCAAAACCCAACUAACUCAAGGCCCAAAAAUGACCCAUAUUGACUUUUGGUGAGUAUGCCCCGCGUACCACCCCAAUACGCCCAACGUACUGUUUGAUCUAAGAGAAGGUAAUGGGUUGAAACCCAUUACGCACAACGUACCAGGAAGGUACUCCCGGCGUACUACUCAACUGCCCAAACUCAACUUUAAGCUCUUAAUGCUUAAAGACAAAAACAUCCAAUUCAUAGAUCUAACUCUAAGGCACGUCUUAAGUCAUAAAGGUCUUGACUUUAUGACUUUUCAUGGCUUAAUGGAGUCCAAACCAAAGCCCUAGAUUCAUAACUUUACCAAAUUAAGGAACGUUGGGGAAUGUUGAGCGUUCGUUGGGAACGUAGGGUGUUCGUAGGCAAGAUGAAAACCCUAAAUUAAGGUCUUGGACCCAAUUUAAAGACCUUAACUCACCUCCAACCCUCAUUUCCUUUAGUCUUCAUUCUUUCUAACCCUAAGUACAAAACCCUAGCCUCCAUUUGAGUGAUUCUUGAGCUUCAAAGUGAUUUAUGAGUAUUUUGGUGCUUGAGUAUGAAGAAGGAACUUCUUGAAGAGUCAUUUUUUGAUUUAGAGCUUUUGGAUCCAGGCCUUGUGCACCUAGAUUUAUCUUCUAGAGGUAUAAAGUCUCAACCUUGGCAACUCUUUCAUGUAGAUCUAGCUAAGUGGUAUUUUGUUAUGGUUUUGGUCCCUUUGAGAUGGUUCUUGUGAGUAAAAGUUACUCCAGAACCUGUAAGCUUCAUAUUUGGUCCUUGUUGGGGUUGUGGAGUCAUAAAGUUUGGAUCUUGAUAAGUAUAAACCAUCCAUGCAUGAUUUGGUAGUCUUUUGGUGAAGCUUGGGACUUAGGGUUUUGAUUUGGGUCUCAUUAAGUGAUGCUAAGUCAUAAAUUCAGGAACUUUAUGACUUAAGAAGUCCCUUUGUAUCAAAUAUGGAAGUAUGGACAGAGGUCUUAAGGUAUUAAGAAGUUUUUAAGAUAUUUUUGGGUGAUUUUGACCUUUGUAGUUCAUCUUUGGUGUUGGGCUUCAUUAAGCCAUGCAAAGGCUUAAAGCUUUCGACUUUAUGGAUCAAGUCACUUAUAUUUAGCUAUUCUGAGGUUUUCGACAUUUGGAUUAAAGGAUUAAGUCAUUGGAAUGACUUUUGGGUGGCCGCCAGGAACGUUGCGGGUACCAGUGGGGAACGUCGUGCGUUCUGUCUAUGAUGCCUGUUUUUGGACCAGCAACCUACGCCGUGCGUACGUCUGAUCAGAUGGUAAAUGGACUUUGUGGGCUUGGACUCUUUUGGUACGGGCUUCAGUUAGGCUGAUUUGUUUUUAUUGGGCUUAGUUGUCAUGGACCCUUUUGAGCCAUUAGGUUUUGGUCUGAUGGUUAUUUUGAAAAGGUCUACAAUGGGGGAGCCCAUGCCACUUGGGUAUCAGACCAUGAGGGUAGCCCAUAGCAUUCCAGGUCAAGACCAUGGUGCAGCCCAUGGCAACUAUAUGUAUGUUGCAUGAUAUUUUGUGGUUAUAUGUGAUGGGUUUUGGUCAUAAGACAUCCUAUGUGCUCAUACAAACCCUAAUGCUUGGAUCUAGGUUUCUCUAUUGUACAUACUUUGAAUCCAAGACUAUAAACCCUAAUUCUAGCAUAUGGAAAUUAGAAUACACAUGUAAUUAGGUUUAAGAACAUACCUUGAUUGUUAUAUAGGAACAACAAUCCAAUUCCUCCUUGAAUUGACCUUGGAAAGCUGAGAGUCACAAGUGUCACUCCUCUAAUGGCUUACAAACACCAUAAGCAAGUGGAGAAGGUAUAUAGAGAGAGGAGGGAGGUAGGAAUUCGUCCUUAGAUGCUCUAGGGAUCAAGUACACGAAUUCCAAGGCCUUAGGGGUCUUUAUAUAGGGUUGGGAUUAGGUUUUCAGUCCUUAUCCUUAUCUAGUUGCUUGUCCACCAAGCAACCAUAAGAUAACUCUUAGAAACCCUUAUUCUAGUCGAAUUCUAAGUGAUUAUCACCUCAAAUUUGUUCACCAUAUAUAUAAGAUAAUCCUUACCUUAUUUUGUAACUAUCACAUAAUUACAAUUCAGCCCCUCUAGUUUAAUUAAUUACACUUGAUCACAAAAUUAAUUCUUAAUUAAUUAUUGACCAAUAUUAAUUAAACAAAUAUGAUUUCUCCUUUAAUAUAUUAUUCUUAUAACAUAUUAAUAAAUCAUAAUAACCUCUCUCUCUUUAUUUAUUUCUCCAAUCAAGUUGCUUUGGUGAAGGCAACCCAAAAGGACCAUGCACCAUCGGGUCAAGUACAUACCAAAAUAGUUAUGGACUUAGACACUAAUCCAACAGUCUCCCACUUGGAUAAGUCUAAUAACUAUUCUGCGUAUGACUUCGGAUCCUGAUCUGCAAUCGUAGCUUUCCAAAGCCGCUGUCAACUCUGAUCAUAUCAAAUACGCGUGUCCUUAGAUAAGGGAUCAUAUAUUCCUCCAUUCUAGAUAUCAUAUGAGAUAUGAUUUCAAAUCAUUCUCUUUGUACUAUAUCUCGAUUUCCGAUUUAUGACGACUGACUAAUUGAACAAAUCAAAUUAGCCCUAGCCCGGCCGAGCAUUUACGUUUGUCAUCACUAAACCAUCGAGGGGCCCAAAGAUAUCGCUUUUAUCCUACUUUGGAUAAAAGGAACGGAUAAACUUUGAUACAAUGCUUGCUUGCACUCACUCACCGAAUCACACACAACAAUAUGUUUUAUAACACCAAGUUACUAGUGCGUUUACAUAUUAUCAAUGUGCAACCGAUUUGCAAGAUACAACUCACACAU
rnacentral:lncRNA from 1 species